GACGAACGCUGGCGGCGUGCCUAAUACAUGCAAGUAGAACGCACAGUUUAUACCGUAGCUUGCUACACCAUAGACUGUGAGUUGCGAACGGGUGAGUAACGCGUAGGUAACCUGCCUGGUAGCGGGGGAUAACUAUUGGAAACGAUAGCUAAUACCGCAUAAUAUUCAUUAUUGCAUGAUAAUUAAUUGAAAGGUGCAAUUGCACCACUACCAGAUGGACCUGCGUUGUAUUAGCUAGUAGGUGAGGUAACGGCUCACCUAGGCGACGAUACAUAGCCGACCUGAGAGGGUGAUAGGCCACACUGGGACGGAGGCACGGCCCAGACUCCUACGGGAGGCAGCAGUAGGGAAUCGUCGGCAAUGGACGAAAGUCUGACCGAGCAACGCCGCGUGAGUGAAGAAGGUUUUCGGAUCGUAAAGCUCUGUUGUAAGAGAAGAACGGGUGUGAGAGUGGAAAGUUCACACUGUGACGGUAUCUUACCAGAAAGGGACGGCUAACUACGUG
rnacentral:rRNA from 1 species